AGGGGUGUCGGGGGCCGGGGAAGCAGAGAAACAGCCCCGGAAGGAAAUACACCAGCACGAUCCCCGUGGGCGGUGGCCACCGCGCGGCUCUCCAGGUCCUUCUGACCCAGCCCGCUUCCCGGCCGCCUUGAAGUUGGGCAGGGUCAUGUGACCGUUCCUGGCCAAUCAGGGUGAGCAGGUGGUCCUGGGGCUGCCCCCAGGCCGCUUGCCAACUGAUACGGGGCCCUCUCCCCGAGCUCUUGGGCGCCGGCACGACAGCCAGCCACAUUGGAGGUGGCGGCCUCCGCCAACCGCAGCGCACUGAGCAGAUCCCACUCCCAACCCAGAUGUACCUACAGCCUUCAGCCUCGCAGACCCGGGUUCCUUGCGGUUACCCCCGUGUUUCCGAAUGACGCCGUCUCCCCGACGGGCGCCCAGCGUCACCCCCAGGAAAAAGCUUAGGGGUGGGGCACUUGAGACAAAGGGCACCUGCCCGCCUGCCCGCCCCUGUUGGCUCCGGUUCCCUGCCUCCACCCAGGGCUGCCUCCUCACGGUUCCCAGUAAGCACCACGUGACUGAGAGCAAGGCCUGGUCCUCGACGGCAUCCCAGGGCCAAGCACUCAGUAGGGGCUCGGUCCACAUCGGCGCAGGAAAUCAACGACAAGAAUUCUCAGAAACGUUGGUCCCGGAUGAAGGCAGAACCCCCCCCCCCCACCACCACCCAUGACGAUUCUUUCUCUAACGGUGGCAGAGGGUGCUGGCCGCCUCCCCGUAGCCACGUUCCUGGCCUCCCUCCGGAGCAGGCGAACCCUCGGCUAGUGGACCACGUGCCCCAGCCGCCCUUGCAGCUCAAGCGACACGAGUACUCGAGUUCGUCAACAUACAGCGUGGCCCUGGUUUCAGGAGUAGGACCCAGGGAUUCAUCCCUUCCGUACGACGCCCAGCGCUCAUCCCGACACGUGCCCUCCUGAAUGCCCAUCCCCCAUCCGGCCCGGCCCGCACCCGCCUCCCCUCCGGCACCCCUCAGUUUGUUCUCUGUAUUUAGGGGCCUCUCGUGGGUUUUCUCCGCCUCUGUUUUUAUCUUCUGUGUCCUUCCCUUCCCCUAAGUUCAUCUGUUGAUUCACUCCUUCUCCUUGAUAGGCGUUUCUUAUUCUAAACAAACGUGGCUGGCGUUCCCGUCUGAUAGAAGCUUCUGGUUAAGAUGCGACAGGCCUGAGCUGUGCAGGCCGGUGCCAGGAGGUUUCCCCCGCAGCCCCCCAGGCACUGGCGCCCCUGCCUUAUCCUGAGCUCGCCCGGCACGCCUGUGCGGAGGGGGGGGGAAGCCAGCCAGACUUUUGCAAGGGGACACUUUUUUUUUUUUUCUCUCGUUGCAGUUAUUCUGAGGAUCAGAAACGGGGGCUUGGGAUGUUUCCUUCGAAGCUUUUCCCAGAUUCCAGAGAGUUUUAGGCAAACCCAGGGCUCCAGGAAGCCACGGGGCGCCCGCACUUUUCCAGACAUCAGCUGAAGGGGCGCAAACAUCCUGAAACCUAAUGUAAACUUGGCAUUCGGAGUCUCCACGUGAAACGGGAGGCCGGCUGGCCCCAGAGGCAAACAGAGACUGCAUUUACAUGUCGCCCCCACGACCUCAUUUCUAAAUUCAAACAAGGUAAUGUCUCCCAUAAUGGGCUGUCGGGGCCUCCGUGCCCUGAGAACGCAUAUUUUAUCAUCGCCUUGUUGGGUCAGGAUUCUGGAAGCGCUCAUCAACCACCUGACAAAGCAUCAAGGCGUCCCCUCGAAAUGUUGUCACCAGCUGUGAGCCCAGCGCCAUGGGUCCGGGGGGAGGGGGGCGGUUGGGGACAACACCCGACACAGGUCCAUCUGCCCACAGCCCCGACCUUGGCCCGUCCUGGGGUCAACCCGGUGUUUACCCGGCCUACCUCGGGCAAGAUGCUCGGGGCAGCGGGGCCAGGGCGGGCGGGCAGGAGAACCGCCUCCUUCCCUACCAAGGCCCAAGCUCCAGAAGGUGUCUCUGAGGCUCCCCACACUUGACUACUGGGGUCCCUGAGGCCCCGCAAGGGGAAGGACGUGGCCAAGGUCACAAAGCAAGUCAGAGCGCAGCCAAGAAGAGGAGAAAAAGCUCUCGCCUUCUCUCUACAUCCACGGGCCAACCGGGGCCAGCCUGGGCUCACCUUUCAGGACCUGGCUCCGGUCUUACCUCUGCAGGGGCUCUUCCAGACUCUUCGAGCAGCGGUUAGGGCCCCGGGUUCCAGCCUCCAACUCGCUCCCACCACAUCACGGACCUCUGGAGACUUACCCAUCCCCCACGACACAAACCCCACUCUGGCAAGGCACUGCGAGGAAGCCAGCGGGGCUGGCCGUCGUGAGCACGGGGCCCGGCAGCAGGAGGUUUGAAUUUCCUGUCCUUUCGGCGGAUCACGGCGCCCGCCUCACCCCCAGCCCCCGUGGCCCGGCACCCUCAGGAGGCCGUCCUGGAAAGAGGCCAGGAGGGAGGGAGCAAGGCUCUCCUGCACGGAGCCCUGACCCAGGACAGAGCUCCGGGAAAGGAAGGUAACUGGUUGUUUCUGUCCCGAGGAGAACAUGCCGUGACCGUGAAUCUUCAUUCGGCUGUCCCCAAAGUGACAAACAUCCCCCAGCGUCCAUGCUGCUGCCUCCCCGGCAAUUUCUCUGUUUACAGGAUGUCUGGGGUGUCUAGACAGGCUGGGGUGGGGUGGGGGGAGUCAGAGAGUGGAGUCCCAAGGCAGUUCUCAGACGGCACACGGCUAUUUCUGCACAGAACAGCUAAAACCAAAAGACUGAAAUCUGCCUCUGCCUGGAGAGUUCAUUAAAUAGAAAUAUGCUUAA